rnacentral:lncRNA from 1 species
GACGCGCUGAGGAGCAGGGGUGAAGGGUGAAAAGCGUCAUUCGAGGUCCGGGUCCGGCUUGCGGGGUCAGCGAACUGGAGAGGCGCCAUGGGCUGGAUCACAGAAGAUCUUAUUAGACGGAAUGCUGAACACAACGACUGUGUCAUUUUUUCCCUGGAGGAACUCUCGUUGCAUCAGCAAGAAAUAGAAAGACUAGAACACAUUGAUAAAUGGUGCCGGGAUUUAAAAAUUCUCUAUCUUCAAAAUAAUCUUAUUGGGAAAAUUGAAAAUGUUAGCAAACUCAAGAAACUUGAAUAUUUGAAUUUAGCUUUAAACAACAUUGAAAAAAUAGAAAACUUGGAAGAUGUCAUCUAUUGACUUCCUGAUGUGGACGAUGCAGAUUUUGUUCUCUCACACCAUCUGCAAGGUUCUCAAUUUUCUCCUACCCACCCUCCGUGUAUUUUCAUAUGACAUUGACAGGAUAUCAUAAUGAAAUAUGGCAUACGGACCCAUUUACGGGGACUGGUCUUUUGAAUUAACUGUGUUGGGAGAGGAUAUUACACUUGCUCCCCAACUCUCCCACAUCUAAUCUCUGGCCUUUCUUAUCCUACCUGCCUCCUCCUGCCUUCUUCCAAGCUGGUCUCUCCAUCUCCACCUGUGUCAUGAAUUCC